rnacentral:lncRNA from 1 species
GAAGCACUAUCCGCCAUAUAUGAAUCUCAUUUAACUCUGUCAUCAACUAUUCUAGUUCAUGAACGGAACAAUGGUGAUGUUUGUAGGAGUCGAAUAUCUAACUCCCGCGGAAAUCCACGAGAAACCACAAUCUUUUCACCGCAAUUCGACAAACAUUUGAUCUUUGUCUCGUUCGAAUCACCGAUCAAUCUCGUGAAACAAUGGCAACAUUGAAAACUACCU